rnacentral:rRNA from 1 species
AGCCGCGAACGGGUGAGUAACACGUGGGUUACCUGCCCCGAUGACCGGGACAACCCGUCGAAAGACGGGCUAAUACCGGAUGUGCCCCUUGGGGGAAAGGAAGCUUCGGCCUCCGCAUCGGGAUGGGCCCGCGGCGCAUUAGCUAGUUGGUGGGGUAAUGGCUUACCAAGGCGACGAUGCGUAGCUGGUCUGAGAGGACGAUCAGCCACACUGGGACUGAGACACGGCCCAGACUCCUACGGGAGGCAGCAGUGGGGAAUCUUGCACAAUGCGCGAAAGCGUGAUGCAGCAACGCCGCGUGCGGGAAGAAGGCCUUAGGGUUGUAAACCGCUUUCAGUUGGGACGAAGCUUCGCGAGUUAAUAGCUCAUUGGAGUGACGGUACCUUCAGAAGAAGCACCGGCUAACUACGUGCCAGCAGCCGCGGUAAUACGUAGGGUGCGAGCGUUGUCCGGAAUCAUUGGGCGUAAAGCGCGUGUAGGCGGCUGAGUAAGUCUGCUGUGAAAGUCCAGGGCUCAACCCUGGGAUGCGGCAGAUACUGCUCGGCUAGAGUACGGGAGGGGCGAGUGGAAUUCCUGGUGUAGCGGUGGAAUGCGCAGAUAUCAGGAGGAACACCUAUGGCGAAGGCAGCUCGCUGGAACG